UGCGGGGCAAUUGGCGAUUUGCCGUUCAAAAUGACUCUCAGAGGGCCCUGCGAUCAAAAGGGUGAUAUUAUGGAUUAAAACGUCAAGACACAUAUUAUUUUUUCAAAACAAACGGAAAAAUUCCCAAAUUUUGGUGUUAAGAGGUCAAUUAAUCAAGAUUGGAUUGCUGAUUAAGGUUGUUGAAAACUGUAUUGUUCCAAAUUGUAACAGCGAGGAAAACCUACCCGGAAUCAUAAUUUUUCAGUCUAGAGCAUAAAGGAGUUUUUUUGAAUUCAUGAUGAAUCACUCGGAAGAUCCGCGUUGAAUCUCGGAGAAAUAUUUUUACAUAAAAAAUAAAACGCAACAAUAACAAACAUUCGGAUUACAAGAACAAAAAGAAGUUUGCGUGUGAGAACGAAAGGAGGAAAGAAAUACCGAAAGGCAAUUGGCGAAAUUAGAGAAAGUGGAUUAAAUAAUCACCGAUAAAUUUAUUACUUUCGAUUUUGAUGCAUCGCAAAUCCAUAGCAGGAUCGUGAACUUUAUUCCUUCACAAAAGAAGAACCAUCCUCCAAAACCAUCAUUAUCAUGGAAUACUUGAAUUUAACAAACCCGAGUUUAACCUUCCCAUGCCGUUCGGGUCAAUAUGACCCGAAGCGCACAUUUAAAAUCUUUUUAUCAUCAUUCCAAUAUACUGAAGAACUUGGAAUUUUGACAGACCAAGUAUGUUCUAUGAAAAUAAUGAUCAAAUUAACGUCAAAAAAUUGAAAUUUGAGUUUUGAAAAUCGGUUCAUUGGGAAAUGUAAUACAGCUAAGC